rnacentral:lncRNA from 1 species
GCCCACACCCCCAGGAAUGUGUCUGGGUUCCUUCAUCUCUGUGUGCUCCAAUUCCUCAGCUGCAGGAGAGGGAUCAUAGCAGCGCUGAUCCUCCUGGACACCUCUGAGCAUGGGUCUGUUGGUGGCCAAGGAUGCACAGGUCGAUUCACUGCAGCAGGGUAAUUCCUGUGCGAUAUUGACAGCCAAGACCCAGGUCCCAUGUCAAGACCUUGAACACACUUUGGAUGCUUGAAGCCAUGCUACCAGCGAGGAGGAGAGGGAGAAAUAUCUGACAUUUCCUGACAUCGGCUGCUCUCACAGCCCCCGGGAGUUCCUCAGGAAAGUUUUUAAAGUAAUAUUUAUGGAUGAUCAUGGUGAAUCAGGCCCUAAAAGGCUGAGCAGAGACCCUGCAGCGGUGGCAGGGCUGUCAGACACCACCAUGGGCAGGACAUCCUGCUGUAUGCUGUCCUCGGCGUGUCACCAAGACCAGGACAGUGCCGUCCUCGGCGUGUCACCGACAUCAGGACUGCGCCGUCCUCAGGAUGUCACCAACACCGGGACUGCGCCGCUCAGCAAGAAGAAAGAGCUGCAUUUAAGAACGGGGACAGCAGGGUUUGUUCCUGCCCCGGUACUUUGGGGGAACAUCCUUGCUCAAGACGGGUGAAAUGGCGGUGAGGAAAGGGUCAAAACAUCCCCCCGACUGCAAGCAGAGGAAGAAUGUUGGCAGAGUAAACCUUGCCACAGGAAUAAAAGGUUGUCCUGACUGUUCAUAUUACUCCACAUGGGGUGAGUAAAACUGUCGGUCAGACUGAAGCGUCUGAUAUACAAAGGGGAAUAAAAACUCAUUAAAGGUCUAAAAGGAAACCCUAUUAAAAUACCAAAUAUAAAAUGGAGGAGAU